rnacentral:rRNA from 1 species
UGGUGGUUAUAGCAUAGAGGUCACACCUGUUCCCAUGCCGAACACAGAAGUUAAGCUCUAUUACGGUGAAAAUAUUACU